rnacentral:rRNA from 1 species
GCUUACGGCCACACCGUGGUUCACGCCCGAUCUCGUUUGAUCUCGGAAGCUAAGAUAGGUUGGGCCUGGUUAGUACUUGGAUGGGAGACCGCCUGGGAACCAGGUGCUGUAAAGC